CACCCUGCACCUAUCGAGCUGUCUGACAGAUCUACUCAGGCCUGGCCUCCAAGGCUGUGGAGAUCAGACGCUGUGCAAUGCUCCCUUAGCAUCUGCUUUGAAAACAACACAUUAUUGCAAAGCCUCAUAAAUGAUGUUGUUUACUAGCGUUGCAGCAGUGAUCAUCCAGCAUUCUGUUCCUUCGAUAUCAAGGGGGAUUUCAGUAAACAUCACACAUUGCAGACCCCCUAGUCUCCUAAAUCCGUAUACUUAUAGCUGCAGCAGAUGGUCCGGUGGAGAAGAGGUCAAACAUUUCCUCAGUGAAUAUGAUGACACAGCAGAUUUAUGACAGGAAGCAUUGGGGAAACUAUAUUGGCUAUGAAGUGUUCCAUUCACAAUUAGGAGGCAAGUCUGCAUGACUAAGAGGCGGACAGAAGAGAAGAAGAGAAAUAUACUGGACAAAAAUAUCAACGCAACAUGCAAGAAUCUCUGAUAAGGAAAUCAGUAGGAAAUAUAAGGAAAUCAGUAAAUUGAAAUAAAUUCAUUCGACCCUAAUCGAUGGAUUUCACAUGACUGGGCAUGACUGGGCAGGGGUGUACCCAUAGGCCCACAAACUUGGCAGCCAGGCCCACACACUGGCGAGCCAGGCCCAGCCAUUCAGAAUUAGUUUUCCCCCACAAAAUGGCUUUAUUAACAGACAGAAAUACUCCUCAGCACCCUCCCCCACCCCUCCUCAGAUGAUCCCGCGGGCGAAGAAGUGUGGAUAUGUGGAUAUCCUGAGCUGGUGUGGUUACACUUGAUCUGCGGCUGUGAGGCUGGUUGGACAUACUGCCAGAUUCUCUAAAAUGACUUUGGAGGCAGCUUAUGGUAGAGAAAUGAACAUUCAAUUCUCUGGCAACAGCUCUGAUGGACAUUACUGCAGUCAGCAUGCCAAUUGCACUUUCCCUCAACACUUGAGACAUCUGUGGCGUUGUGUGACAAAAAUGCACAUUUUAAAGUGUAAUGAUCGCACUGUUUAAUCAGCUUCUUGACCUGUCAGGUGGAUGGAUUAUCUUGGCAAAGGAGAAAUGCUCACUAAAAGUGAUGUAAACAAAUGUGUGCACAACAUUUGAGAGAAAUAAGCUUGGAAAAGGUACUUCACAACUUUACAUGUUGUGUUUAUAUUUUUGCUCAGUGUAGAUAGUGCCGUUUGAAACCAGGACAGUGUAGAUAGUGGUGCUUGAAACCAGGACUGUGUAGAUGCUGGAGUUUGAAACCAGGACAGUGUAUAUCAGGCCUGGAAAUAUAUUUCUGCCAUCGCGGGCCAGAAUCAUAUUACAGGAUUAUACAUCAUGUGUAUGAUUGUGUUGACAGAUAUCUACUGUAAAUCACGUCCAGAAAUGCAAAUGAUUUUACUUUUUUUAACAUGCCACAGAAAUAAACCACAUCCAUGUU